UGGGGAAUUUUGGACAAUGGGCGAAAGCCUGAUCCAGCAAUGCCGCGUGUGUGAAGAAGGCCUUCGGGUUGUAAAGCACUUUUGUCCGGAAAGAAAACGCCGUGGUUAAUACCCGUGGCGGAUGACGGUACCGGAAGAAUAAGCACCGGCUAACUACGUGCCAGCAGCCGCGGUAAUACGUAGGGUGCAAGCGUUAAUCGGAAUUACUGGGCGUAAAGCGUGCGCAGGCGGUCCGCUAAGGCAGAUGUGAAAUCCCCGGGCUUAACCUGGGAACUGCAUUUGUGACUGGCGGGCUAGAGUAUGGCAGAGGGGGGUAGAAUUCCACGUGUAGCAGUGAAAUGCGUAGAGAUGUGGAGGAAUACCGAUGGCGAAGGCAGCCCCCUGGGCCAAUACUGACGCUCAUGCACGAAAGCGUGGGGAGCAAACAGG
rnacentral:rRNA from 1 species